CGGUACAUCCCUACCCAGAAAUUCCCAAAGUACCCCCCGGGGAAGAAUUCAAGACUUUUGCCAUUAUAAUAAUUUUGAUAUUCACUCGGUCGCGCUCCAAAUCUAAAUGUUAUCAAGGAAUGAUGUUGCGCAUGGUAUCUGUUAGACGACUGACCUGGAUAAAGUUCAAUUAGGUGUGGUGUACACUACAUAUUAUCAGUUCAUCAUCAUGGCUGGAUGGAAACUGAAAACCAUCAUUGCAAUGAUUGUUACAAUCUGUGCUAUACCACUUAUAUUUCGCAGACAUUCAAAGUGUAACCUAUCUUCUGUUAUUAAUCAGCUGUGCUCAGCUUAUGACGAAGGUCACGUGUCAGGACCACUGUGCUCCGAUCUUUGUGAACAGAACAACAUUCAUCUUGG